GUUGGAUGGACUGCGCCGUCCCGAGGCAUGCUGGGAGCUGUAGUUCUGUGGUGCGCGGCCGGUCUUUCCCCGAGCCGGGCCGGGGCCGGGCCGUGCGCGCCGGGAGGCGCAGGUCGCCGCUGGCUGCGAGCGCGGUCGCCGGCGGGCAGAAGCAGCUCCCCGCCGCUAGGACCCCUGCGGGGUUUGUUGCCGAGCGAAGGUGGCGCACCGGCUACACCGAGGAAAGCUGCAGCUGGCGUGCUGCAGCCGCGGGUUUCCCAGGAGAAAGAGCAGCCCGACUGUCCCAGCUGUCCGGGCUCGUGUGCGUCCGUUUGCCUUGUCCCGAUGGCUGGUGUAGAUGAUCGCUCACGUGCCCCAAAGCUCCUUGUGCUGAUGUUGGAUGUGCCCCUCGGCAAAGGACCGCAUCCCGUGUGUUCAGCUUUUCUUCCUUACCGUGUCGUAUGUAUAUAGGAGAAAAGCUCUUUCCAGAGAGAUGGAGAAGGAAUUAAUUAGACCUCUGCUUCAUCCUGUGAGACCAGAAGACAAUGACUGACUAACUGUGAAUAUGAGUUUAAUUGGCCUAGGUACUUCAGGCAAUUACUCCGCAACUACCCAAAGCAGCGAUAGUGAGAAGCCCACUUCCAGCAUCCGCUCCCCACGCAGGGACGGACGGGUGGACAGACGGACGCCGCUCUUUGCCUUGCCCGCCAGGGGAAGGGGAGAACGACCGGGCAGGGAGCCCCACCGCAGCCCCCUCCCGGGAGUCCUGCACAGCAGUUUAAUAAAGUUUGCUUUCCGGCCCGUG